AGGUGGAGUGCUCCUUGUUGGCGAGGGGAGCAUCGCCAGCGACGGUAUGGCACAAUACGCUGUCAUGGAGUUGCUCUCUUAAUCGCAAGGUAGCCAUUACA
rnacentral:pre_miRNA from 1 species